CCUACGGGAGGCAGCAGUGGGGGAUAUUGCACAAUGGGGGGAACCCUGAUGCAGCGACGCCGCGUGGGUGAAGGAGCGUUUCGGCGCGUAAAGCCCUAUCGGCAGGGAAGAAGAUGACGGUACCUGACCAAGAAGCCCCGGCUAACUACGUGCCAGCAGCCGCGGUAAUACGUAGGGGGCAAGCGUUAUCCGGAUGCACUGGGUGUAAAGGGAGCGUAGACGGCGAGACAAGUCUGGCGUGAAAGGCCGGGGCCCAACCCCGGGACUGCUCUGGAAACUGCCUGGCUGGAGUACAGGAGAGGUAAGUGGAAUUCCUAGUGUAGCGGUGAAAUGCGUAGAUAUUAGGAGGAACACCAGUGGCGAAGGCGACCUGCUAGAACAUAACUGACGCUGAUGCGCGAAAGCGUGGGGAGCAAACAGGAUUAGAUACCCGAGUAGUC
rnacentral:rRNA from 1 species